GGACGGCUCAGAUGUGAAGGCGCAUUUGCCAUAAAACUUUUAUAGGUCAUAGAGUAAAAAUAUUAUUUAUCGAAUUGCAUGCCAACAAAAUCAUGCCUUCUAUCGCGAAAUUAUUAUAGUAUAUUUAUUAUUUGUUCAAUCUUUUGUUAAUUUAUUUGACACUUGUAUAUUUUAAGUUUGAAUGGAAUGUGUGUCGUCCCUAGAUUUAUUG